rnacentral:lncRNA from 1 species
UGUGCAUUUAUACAUCUGUGAACACACAGGCACCAGCAUCUUGCUCCCAUUGCUUCUUCUCUCCUCUGAUGGUGUUUAAGCCCUUUUGAACAGCAGCCCAUGGAAGGGGAUGGGUGGACAGAUUGUCUAUUAAAACAGCUGACAGUGAGCUAAUAUUAUGGUGGUCUGGAUGACCUUAUGUGAUGGUGGAGACUAAACCAAUGAGACUGGAAGAGAUGAGACCCCCAGAGCAGUC